UUUUUAUGAAGAGUUUGAUCCUGGCUCAGGAUGAACGCUGGCGGCGUGCCUAAUACAUGCAAGUCGAGCGAACGGA
rnacentral:rRNA from 1 species